rnacentral:rRNA from 1 species
CCUACGGGAGGCAGCAGUGAGGAAUAUUGGACAAUGGGCGCAAGCCUGAUCCAGCCAUGCCGCGUGCAGGAAGAAGCAUCUAUGGUGUGUAAACUGCUUUUGUACGGGAAGAAACACUCCUUCGUGAAGGAGCUUGACGGUACCGUAAGAAUAAGGAUCGGCUAACUCCGUGCCAGCAGCCGCGGUAAUACGGAGGAUCCAAGCGUUAUCCGGAAUCAUUGGGUUUAAAGGGUCCGUAGGCGGUUUAAUAAGUCAGUGGUGAAAUCUGGUCGCUUAACGAUCAAACGGCCAUUGAUACUGUUAGACUUGAAUUAUUUGGAAGUAACUAGAAUAUGUAGUGUAGCGGUGAAAUGCUUAGAUAUUACAUGGAAUACCAAUUGCGAAGGCAGGUUACUACAAAUGGAUUGACGCUGAUGGACGAAAGCGUGGGGAGCGAACAGGAUUAGAUACCCUGGUAGUCCACGCCGUAAACGAUGGAUACUAGCUGUUGGGAGUAAUCUCAGUGGCUAAGCGAAAGUGAUAAGUAUCCCACCUGGGGAGUACGAACGCAAGUUUGAAACUCAAAUGAGUAGAGCGUGAGAGNGCGAGACGACGACGAGGGAGGAGG